rnacentral:rRNA from 1 species
AGAGUUUGAUCAUGGCUCAGGACGAACGCUGGCGGCGUGCUUAACACAUGCAAGUCGAACGGAAAGGCCCUGCUUUUGUGGGGUGCUCGAGUGGCGAACGGGUGAGUAACACGUGAGUAACCUGCCCUUGACUUUGGGAUAACUUCAGGAAACUGGGGCUAAUACCGGAUAGGAGCUCCUGCUGCAUGGUGGGGGUUGGAAAGUUUCGGCGGUUGGGGAUGGACUCGCGGCUUAUCAGCUUGUUGGUGGGGUAGUGGCUUACCAAGGCUUUGACGGGUAGCCGGCCUGAGAGGGUGACCGGCCACAUUGGGACUGAGAUACGGCCCAGACUCCUACGGGAGGCAGCAGUGGGGAAUAUUGCACAAUGGGCGGAAGCCUGAUGCAGCAACGCCGCGUGCGGGAUGACGGCCUUCGGGUUGUAAACCGCUUUCGCCUGUGACGAAGCGUGAGUGACGGUAAUGGGUAAAGAAGCACCGGCUAACUACGUGCCAGCAGCCGCGGUGAUACGUAGGGUGCGAGCGUUGUCCGGAUUUAUUGGGCGUAAAGGGCUCGUAGGUGGUUGAUCGCGUCGGAAGUGUAAUCUUGGGGCUUAACCCUGAGCGUGCUUUCGAUACGGGUUGACUUGAGGAAGGUAGGGGAGAAUGGAAUUCCUGGUGGAGCGGUGGAAUGCGCAGAUAUCAGGAGGAACACCAGUGGCGAAGGCGGUUCUCUGGGCCUUUCCUGACGCUGAGGAGCGAAAGCGUGGGGAGCGAACAGGAUUAGAUACCCCGGUAGUCC